UACGUAGGGGGCAAGCGUUGUCCGGAUUAUUGGGCGUAAAGCGCACGCAGGGCGGUCUCUUAAGUUUCGAGUGACAGGUCAGGGCUUAACCCUGGCAGGCCUUGGAAAAACUGGGGGACUUGAGGGCUUCAGAGGGACGCGGAAUUCCAGGUGGAGCGGUGAAAUGCGUAGAGAUCUGGAAGAACACCGAAGGCGAAGGCAGCGUCCUGGGAAGUCACUGACGCCUCA
rnacentral:rRNA from 1 species